rnacentral:rRNA from 1 species
GUACGGGAGGCAGCAGUCGGGAAUUUUGCACAAUGGCCGAAAGGCUGAUGCAGCAACGCCGCGUGAGUGAAGAAGGCCUUCGGGUUGUAAAGCUCUGUUGCCCGUGACGAACGGCCCUAUCAGGAAAUGGGUAGGGAUUGACGGUAGCGGGAGAGGAAGCCCCGGCUAACUACGUGCCAGCAGCCGCGGUAAUACGUAGGGGGCGAGCGUUGUCCGGAUUUAUUGGGCGUAAAGGGCGUGUAGGCGGUUUCGUAAGUCAGAAGUGAAACCCCGGGGCUUAACUCCGGGCCGGCUUCUGAAACUGCGGGACUUGAGUGCUCUAGAGGGUAGUGGAAUUCCCGGUGUAGCAGUGAAAUGCGUAGAGAUCGGGAGGAACACCAGUGGCGAAGGCGACUACCUGGGGGGCAACUGACGCUGAGGCGCGAAAGCUGGGGGAGCAAACGGGAUUAGAUACCCCGGUAGC